AGAAACAUCAGUGGCCAACAAUCCCAGAUCGUUGAGCUGCAUUGGCGGGAUUUCGCCGUCUUCGUUUCUCUUUCUUCGCGGACGAACACGCGCUGGGCCUGCAAGGAUCCAGGGUCCUUAACGGGAUGUGCGUUAGGGGCUUGUAGCUCAGUUGGUUAGAGCGCGCGCUUGAUAAGCGUGAGGUCGGAAGUUCAAGUCUUCCCAGGCCCACCAUUCGUCUUCUGGUACGGGGCCAUAGCUCAGCUGGGAGAGCGCGUGCUUUGCAAGCAUGAGGUCGUCGGUUCGAUCCCGUCUGGCUCCACCAGAUGGUUUAUCACCGAUAUUGUACCCGUCCGCGAAACAUCACUUCGCACCUGCUAGUCUGGAUAGACAGCAAGAUGCGUGUUUUCUGACAUCGUAAAGAGGAGAUCGAUCCGAGUUGGGUCGUGUAGCAGAUUGCUGCGCGAGUUCAUUAUCUCCGGACAUUUUCGGCGCUCGCGUCCGACCGCAAGGUUGGUUGCGAGUUGUAAAUGAUCCUUUUAGCGAAGCUUGACCGCCUCGCUAUCGGAACGAUCUUACGAAGCAAGCUGGUCUUUCUAGUCAAUGUCCGGCUGUACGUAGCGUUCAUCGAGGGCGCGCGCCGCAACAAUCGUACAGACAACAUUCUGCCGAGUGUGUGGACAUUGAUAAUGAGAGC
rnacentral:tRNA from 1 species